rnacentral:tRNA from 1 species
GCCGGUUUAGCUCAUCAGGUAGAGCGCUUGACUUGUAAUCAUGAGGUGGCGGGUUCGAGUCCUGCAACCGGCACCA